CAAAAGUGAAUAUUUUUGCGUAA
rnacentral:snRNA from 1 species